GUCGAGCGCACCCUUCGGGGCGAGCGGCGGACGGGUUAGUAACGCGUGGGAACAUACCCUUUUCUAUGGAAUAGCCUUUGGAAACGAAGAGUAAUACCAUAUACGCCCUUCGGGGGAAAGAUUUAUCGGAGAAGGAUUGGCCCGCGUAAGAUUAGAUAGUUGGUGGGGUAAUGGCCUACCAAGUCUACGAUCUUUAGCUGGUUUUAGAGGAUGAUCAGCAACACUGGAACUGAGACACGGUCCAGACUCCUACGGGAGGCAGCAGUGGGGAAUAUUGCACAAUGGGGGGAACCCUGAUGCAGCCAUGCCGCGUGUGUGAAGAAGGCCUUCGGGUUGUAAAGCACUUUCAGUUGUGAGGAAAGUUUGAUGGUUAAUACCCAUUAGAUGUGACGUUAACAACAGAAGAAGGACCGGCUAACUCCGUGCCAGCAGCCGCGGUAAUACGGAGGGUCCGAGCGUUAAUCGGAAUUACUGGGCGUAAAGCGCACGCAGGCGGUUUGUUAAGCUAGAUGUGAAAGCCCCGGGCUCAACCUGGGAAUAGCAUUUAGAACUGGCAGACUAGAGUCUUGGAGAGGGGAGUGGAAUUUCUGGUGUAGCGGUGAAAUGCGUAGAUAUCAGAAGGA
rnacentral:rRNA from 1 species